rnacentral:rRNA from 1 species
AUGCCAUUGUCCACGGAUGCCUGUGCCGCCGCUAUUGGCGAGCUUGACAUCACCUCGCUUCCACUGGAGACGCGGUUCCCGCCGUUCCGUCUGAGGCAGUACGGCGGGUUCUGGCUGCUGGAGAAGUUCCUCCAGGGCGUUCCGGCCAUCCACUCCGUCUUCGAGCCAAGGCCGUCGGACGUCCUCCUCGCGAGCUUCCCCAAGUGCGGCACCACCUGGCUCAAGGCCCUCGCCUUCGCCACGCGCAACCGGGCCGAGCACCCGCUGCGUGGCCUCGACUACCCGCUCCGCCGCCGCAACCCCCACGACAUCGUCCAGUACUUGGAGCUGCAGUACGCGCAAUCCAUGGGCCACGUGGUGGCGGCGCUCCCUUCGCCACGCGUGCUCUCGACACACCUGCCAUACUCCCUCCUGCCACGGCGCAUCACUGCGGAGGAGUCCGGCUGCAGGAUCGUCUACAUCUGCCGGGACCCCAAGGACGCAUUCGUCUCCUCGUGGUUCUUCACCAAGAAGACAGUGGCGGCGGCCGCUGCGAGAGCACGAAUCGGCGAGGAGCCGCUGCCAUACACGUUCGAGGAGGCCUUCGAGCUGUUCUGUGAUGGCAUAUGUGUCAGUGGCCCACAGUGGCGCCACGUGCUGGGGUACUGGGAGGCGAGCAGGAGGCAGCCUGAGAAGGUGCUCUUCCUCCGGUACGAGGAGAUGCUUCGGAACCCUGAGAGCAACGUGAAGAAGCUGGCGGAGUUCAUGGGGUGCGCCUUCUCCGUCGAGGAGGAGGCGACCGGGGUGGUGCAGGACAUCGUGGAGCUGUGCAGCCUCGAGAGCCUCAAGAACAUGGACGUGAACAAGAGUGGCAGCCAUGGUCCAUUGGCGCACAAGUCCUUCUUCAGGAAGGGUGUGGCCGGGGACUGGAGCAACCACAUCACGCCGGUCAUGGCGGAGAGGCUAGACAAGAUCGUCGUGGACGCGCUGCAAGGCUCGGGGUUCACCUUUGACGUCGCAGAGCCGUCUGCAUGA